AUGUUCUGCCCACCGUUCCCACAGUAGGAACUGAUUUGGAGGACGCAGCCUUGAGAAAGCAACGUGUUGCGAAGACCAUUUGGCUGGUGUACGUGACUUUUGAGAUUCUGGAGGGUGGUGAGAUCUACUCUUCCUGAGGCCGCCCAGGAGGUUGAGUCCACGAGCACGCCUGAAUAAGCUACAACCUACUUUCCAUCUCAAAGUUGGAUCUCCAGGGAACUCAGCCUACACUAUUGAACACCUCCAUCUGAGAAUACUGCUGAGACCAGCUCAUUGCUGUCUAGAAUUUGGAGCUGGGCUUUUUGGAGGAGUUCAUCCUAGCGUGCUCUGCAGAUCAAGAGGAAUAAGUCACAAGGCCAGAAGGAGUGAGGAGACCCUCGUUGCAAAACAAAACAGAGCAUCUGGGGUUUAGCAGCUCCUAUGAAGUAGUCCCUAGGACUCAAAAGCAAGGCCCGACUGCUUGCUGUCAGUGUGGCAUGUUGAAGAAGUGGAUUCUUCUAAUUAACUCAAGAUGGCAAUCUCCCAAAGCUGUCUGUUUUC
rnacentral:lncRNA from 1 species